UGUGAGCACCUAUAAUUCUAGUUCUUACAUC
rnacentral:piRNA from 1 species